CAGAGCCGAAAUCCCAGAGCAGUGAAAGAGGAGCCAGUGUCAUGGGGCUUCUGGUUUCAGGACACACUGGAAACUUUCUGAAAACUGACUUCCCAUAUUCCCAAAGCCAUCGCCAGCUCCCAGCUUUGUCAUUCAGGAAAAAGAGUAUGCACCUCCCCUUCAUCCUCCUCAUCUCUCACCAUCAUUAAGUACAAGCCCAAGGAGAAGAAUCAAGGGCAAUGAAUCUUCAUCAAACAAUAAAAUCCUGCCUGGUACCAGACCUACCUGUGCCAUCCAAGCACUGCCUGCCCUGUCCCUCCAUUAAACAUCUUACCCU
rnacentral:lncRNA from 1 species